rnacentral:rRNA from 1 species
GUCAAGUCAUCAUGCCCCUUAUGUCCUGGGCUGCACACAUGCUACAAUGGCCGGUACAGAGGGCUGCGAUCCCGUGAGGGUGAGCGAAUCCCAAAAAGCCGGUCUCAGUUCGGAUUGGAGUCUGCAACUCGACUCCAUGAAGGCGGAGUCGCUAGUAAUCGCAGAUCAGCAACGCUGCGGUGAAUACGUUCCCGGGCCUU